rnacentral:lncRNA from 1 species
GAUCUAUUAUUAGGCGAGGCUUAAGGGUGGGGCCGGAGAGAGAGAAAGCCUGGUUUAGAAAGUGGGGGAAAGCGAGCGAGCGAUCGCGCCUCGACCUCCACGGAGCCUGUUCCCUCCCUUCUCAACUUGAGGCUGCCGGGUUGCAGGGAGAGAGCGAGCAUGUGAUCGCAUUGGCUCGCCUUGCCAUGGUGUGGCAGCAGCGCGGGCAGCAAUGGAGGCGGCUUAAGGGACGAGGCUGGGCGGCUGCUGCUGCUGCUGGCUGGCUAGACCGCAGAUGGGAAAGCCCGACCCAAUUUCUCGUCGCCAAAUCCAGCUGGAAAGAAGAGCAUUAAUUGGCAUACCGAAGAAGUGCAUGAAAAGUUUUGAUACUUUGGAAAAGCCUGAGUAGACCCGUAUAUAAGAAGAUUAAACUUUGGGAAGGUAAGGAAUACAUUGUAAAUAAAGAUAUUUUGACAGCUAAGCUAUUAUUAUUAUUAUUCUAUGAAUGUAGGUUUGGGUAUCUUCUGACAAUGCUGUAUGAAGAAUCCAGCAAACAUGCACUUUGUGUAUAUUUACCAAAAAGUGCUCAAACUUUGCUGUGGAGAUCAGUGAAAGCUGUAGCUACAGACACUACAAAGCUGGCUGCAGGCUGAAAUCGCUGGGCAAUGGUAAACAAAAAGGCAAUGCUACUUGUUUAACUCCAAGUAGGUACUCUAUGGGACGCGGGUGGCCCUGUGGUCUAAACCACUGAGCCUCUUGGGCUUGCUGAUCAGAAGGUCGGCGGUUCGUAUCCCCACGAUGGGGUGAGCUCCCAUUGCUCGGUCCCAGCUUCUGAGAACCAAGCAGUUCGAAAGCACACCCAAGUAGUGCAAGUAGAUAAAUAGGUACUGCUCCAGCGGGGAGGUAAAUGGCAUUUCCAUGUACUGCUCUGGUUUCAGUGUUACAUUGCGCCAGAAGCGGCUUAGUCAUGCUGGCCACAUGACCCGGAAAAACUGUCUGUGGACAAAUGCCGGCUCCCUUGGCCUGUAAAGCGAGAUGAGCGCUGCAACCCCAGAGUCAUCUGUGACUGGAUUUAACUGUCAGGGGUCCUUUGCCUUUACCUC